rnacentral:ribozyme from 13 species
ACGAAAAAGAAAAAGAAUAAGAAAAAGAAAGAAAGAAUACUCCUAUUUAUUACUUUUUUCUCUCUUUCAAUUUCUUUUAUUUUUUUUUAAUAUUCUCUAUUUAGUCACUGAUUCUAUUU